rnacentral:lncRNA from 1 species
CUGACGCGAAAAUGCUGCGUGAAAUCGCUGCGGUCGGCAGCCGCCCUCCCUGGGGAGCAGCUUCCCUGGAGCGCAGCGCAGCGGUCACGAGGGCUGCAGCUCUGCCCCAGGGAAGCGUUUGGGAGGUUUCAGCGUUUCCUCCCGUCUGGGGCUCGGACAGACACGCUUUCCUGGGCUCCAGGGGUCUCACCUGGCUGGGUACAAGAUCAUCAAGGACUCCUGUUAACCAUGAGUUGCCUUCCACCCAAAGGCAUAGAGGAUGGCGCCAAUUCGACAUGGCUCCCGCUGCCCCAGGAACCCAGCUUUUGAGACACCACAAUGGGACCAGUGACAGUCUUCACUGCAGUGACCAGGAGGAGCUGGGAAUUUGGACCACACUGCCACGCGCAUCCCCCUGCGCCGGCUGGGAGGUGGCACCAACGCGCCGGGACCUGCUGCCGCUCCCGCCCGGGGCAAGGCGGCGUUAUUGCAAGGACUUUGGAAGAGCCAGAGGUUUCCCCGUGUGCCGGGGUUUGUGCCCAGCCCACUAGUUUGAAGAUCUGAGUGCGGUUUAUGUGCCUACCCGUGCCAGGCACAGAUGGCAAGGGGCGCCCCAAGGAACGGAGGCAAAGGGCGAGAGAGAAAUUAUCUCCGGCUCGCAAAGGGGAAACUGAGGCAAGGAAGCAACUUAGCAAAGAUCUUUCACUGGAUCCUGAAUGGCGCCUGUUAUAUUUUUCUGCAAAGAUCCCUCAGAGCUGGGCCUGCCUUGAUUUGCUUUAGUGAAGUGUUUAGCACCGUUCUGGGGAACGUGAAAAUAAUAAUAAUUAUUAAUCAUAAUAAAAUGCAAUGAUCUGAUGACUCA